UACGAAGGGGGCUAGCGUUGCUCGGAAUCACUGGGCGUAAAGGGAGCGUAGGCGGCGUGGUAAGUCAGAUGUGAAAUCCCGGGGCUCAACCCCGGAACUGCAUCCGAUACUGCCAUGCUAGAGGAUUGGAGAGGUAGCUGGAAUUCUUGGUGUAGCAGUGAAAUGCGUAGAGAUCAAGAGGAACACUCGUGGCGAAAGCGAGCUACUGGACAAUUCCUGACGCUGAGGCUCGAAGGCUAGGGUAGCGAAAGGG
rnacentral:rRNA from 1 species